CAGCACCUCAAGUGGUCAGGAUGAUUAUUGGGCCUAAAGCAUCCGUAGCCUGCUUUGUCAGUUUUCGGUUAAAUCCAUACGCUCAACGUAUGGGCUGCCGGGAAUACUGCAAAGCUAGGGAGUGGGAGAGGUAGACGGUACUCGGUAGGGAGGGGUAAAAUCCUUUGAUCUAUUGAUGACCACCUGUGGCGAAGGCGGUCUACCAGAACACGUCCGACGGUGAGGGAUGAAAGCUGGGGGAGCAAACCGGAUUAGAGACCCGAGUAGUCC
rnacentral:rRNA from 1 species